GUGCACGCUUUGGCAGCACAUAUACUAAAGUUGGAACAAUACGGAGAAGGUUAGCAUGGCUCCUGCACAAGGAUAACAUGCAAAUUCGUGAAGCACUGCAUAUUUUA